rnacentral:rRNA from 1 species
AUUGAACGCUGGCGGCAUGCUUUACACAUGCAAGUCGAACGGCAGCGCGGGCUUCGGCCUGGCGGCGAGUGGCGAACGGGUGAGUAAUGCAUCGGAACGUGCCCAGCAGUGGGGGAUAGCCCGGCGAAAGCCGGAUUAAUACCGCAUACGACCUGAGGGUGAAAGCGUGGGACCGAAAGGCCUCGCGCUAUUGUAGCGGGCGAUGGCGGGUUCGCUGGUUGGUGGGGUAUAGGCUUACCAAGGCGACGAUCCGUAGCUGGUCUGAGAGGACGACCAGCCACACUGGGACUGAGACACGGCCCCGACUCCUACGGGAGGCAGCAGUGGGGAAUUUUGGACAAUGGGGGCAACCCUGAUCCAGCCAUGCCGCGUGCGGGAAGAUGGCCUUCUGGUUGUAGACCGCUUCUGUUCGGGAAGAAAUCCUCUGGGCUAAUACCCCGGGGGGAUGACGGUACCGGAAGAAUAAGCACCGGCUAACUACGUG